rnacentral:lncRNA from 1 species
UUCGAAUAUAUUAUCAAGAAUGUAUCACAUAACUCUCCUCAAUAAAGCUCCUAUUUUUUCAAAAAUUAUGAUUUCUUCCCUGCUCAUCAACUCACGAUCACGAAAAAUUCGAAGGAGCCUUUGAUCGAUUUUAAUAUGAGAUGGCCUUUGAUCGGCUCAACUGAAGAAGCUUUUGAUCGACUUUGAAACAAGACGGCCUUUGAUCGGUUUUAAAAUGAGACAACCUUCGAUUGAUCCAACUGAAGGAGCCUUUGAUCAGUUUUAAAUUCAAAUAAGAUCUCUAAUCGGACUAACAGAAGAAUAGUUAUCAAAUGAAAACAAACACAUACGCACG